CGUGAGCUGGGUUUAGACCGUCGUGAGAAAGGUUAGUUUUACCCUACUGAUGAAGCGUUGUUGCCACAGUAAUCCUGCUCAGUACGAGAGGAACCGCAGAUUCAGACAUUUGGUUCAUGUGCUUGGCUGAUAAGCCAAUGGUGCGAAGCUACCAUCUGAGGGAUUAUGACUGAACGCCUCUAAGUCAGAAUCCCGCCUGGAAAGCGACGAUGCAUUCGUGCCUCGGCCUCGAGAGGCGUAGCUAGACGGCCGCGUGGCCGUGGAAAGAGCCCGAUUCCGACCCGAGAGGCCGCGGCAAGAGGCGGCCUCGAAGUCGGUGGAUCCUCCUGCUCGAAAGGCGGGGUGCUAAACCAUUCGCAGACGACCUAGUUGAAGAUCGGGGUGUCGUGAUCACUAGAGCAGUACAUCUCACUGCGAUUUGUUGAGAGUAAGCCUCAAGAUCUGUCGGUUUGU
rnacentral:ncRNA from 1 species